ACAGGAGUCUAUUUCCUCUCAUCACGCCUGACAAUGGUGAGAGUGAACGGACAAUGGGAUUCCACUCAUCAGCAGAUUUCCUUGGAAGGAGAGUCUAUUUCUUCUCAUUUACACUCAGUGAAGCAUUUCUGUCUCUUCUUGAUUUGGUGUGAUCAUUCCCGCUCAUCAGGGGGACGCACAAUCAUGCAUUGGAUUAGUUCGAUGGUAAAGUAAUUCAUGUUUAUUGAAGCGAUUUCUGGGGCUUCCAGAUUGUUUGGUUUGAACUUGAUGCAGCUGUAUCACUUUGUCAUUGCAUUCUAUCAAUCCAACAUUAUAUCCAUCAUAAUCUGCUUGUAAAGUGUUCUCCAUGCUCUUUCCUGGUUUGAUGUUUAAUAGUAUUUAUGAUCCCAAUCCCUUUUUUUUUUUUUGGGUUACAGUAAUCUCUCAUCUGUAUGUCUUUACACCCUUGGAUAUUGUGGAGAAGCAAGUUAAUAUCAUUUUUCAAAUUCCCAAUAUCAGAAA